rnacentral:rRNA from 1 species
UACGUAGGUGGCAAGCGUUGUCCGGAUUUACUGGGCGUAAAGAGCGCGCAGGCGGUCGUGCAAGUCGCGUGUGAAAGCCCCCGGCUCAACUGGGGAGGGUCACGCGAUACUGCUCGACUCGAAGGCAGGAGAGGGAAGUGGAAUUCCCGGUGUAGUGGUGAAAUGCGUAGAGAUCGGGAGGAACAUCAGUUGCGAAGGCGGCUCUCUGGACCAGCACUGACACUGAGGCACGAAAGCGUGGGGAGCAAACAGG